CACGUAGGCACCAAGCGUUGUCCGGAUUUAUUGGGCGUAAAGAGCUCGUAGGCGGUUCAGUAAGUCGGGUGUGAAAACUCUGGGCUCAACCCAGAGCCUGCAUCCGAAACUGGAGUGCUAGAGUUCUGGAGGGGGUAGCGGAAUUCCUGGUGUAGCGGUGAAAUGCGUAGAUAUCAGGAGGAACACCGGUGGCGAAGGCGGCUACCUGGACAGAAACUGACGCUGAGGCGCGAAAGCUAGGGGAGCAAACAGG
rnacentral:rRNA from 1 species